rnacentral:ncRNA from 10 species
GUACUGAAAAAGUGAGUGGGGAAUCAGUGUGAAAUUCACUAGCUGUACCUGCAACGGUUAAAGUCCGAGCGCCACCCAGUAUAGUCCGCUGUCGAAUUAAGGCCAGGAAUAGUCUUACUUCUACAAUUAAAAA